rnacentral:ncRNA from 1 species
UUCAGUUUCCCGGGGUGCUUUUCUGUCACUGGCAGAAUUGCUGAGAAAAUACCCGUAGAACCUGAUCAGGGUAAUGCCUGCGCAGGGAAGGUAGCUCCGAAAUUGU